rnacentral:tRNA from 1 species
GGAUUGUGGCUUAGCAGUAGAGCGCUCCCCUAGCAUGGGCGAGGCCCUGGGUUCAAUCCCCAACACCA